UGGCGCGAUAGGACUUUUCUGCAGCAUUUGGGAAUCAAAGGACAUGCCGUGGAAAAACCUCUGGUUUUGGAAGAGCUCCAGGGAACGCAAGCGUCGUGUGGGGAUCUUGCAAAGAAGCUACAUUCAAACAAGGUUUUAUACUAUAACACAUCCAUCCAAUCAUGUGUGCACCGCUUCUGGACAUAUCUUACCCCUCCAGUGGCCAAAGCGUAGAUGAGAAUUCCAAGAGACCACCAGUCUGCAGCAUGGCCAUAGGGACCACCACAAAGGACCUCAGGAGCUGAUAAUAUAGUGAAGGCUCUAUCCCCACGCUCAAGGCGACGAGACAGCCCAAAAUCAGUCAAGCGGAGGUGACCUAAAUCAGACAGCAGUAAUAUCUGUGACCCUGCCUGUAAAAUUCAAGUUAAAGUUUCAUGAUCUAAUGAUGAGAUUUGGAGCAGCAAAGUUUGAUUUCACUCAUUAAUUUCAAUCUCUGACAUGACCUUACUCACUCAAUAUUAAAGGUCACGUUUUUCCCAACAUGAUCUUCCUGUGUUUUUGAAGCUAUGAUUGUGUUUAAGG